rnacentral:antisense_RNA from 2 species
UUCUAUGGGCGGGCCUUGGUGAGGGUGCGUUCGCGCACGCCGGUUGCCUUCUGUACCGGUCUCUCAACCUUGUCAUGUGUCCGCCCACCCAU